rnacentral:lncRNA from 1 species
CGUGGAUGUGGUCUGAGUGUGUCCACCAAAGGUUCAUGUGGGGAAGCUUGGUUUCCAGAGUGACGGUGUUGAGGUGGUAGAAUUCUAAACAUAGGGGUCCAGAGGAAGGUGGUUAAAUCUCUGAGGGCUCUGUCAUCAUCAGUGGACAGUUCUCAUCUUGUGGAGUACAUUGGAUAUUGCCAGAAGAAAAAGUUGUUAUUAAAAACAAUAAGCCUGGCUCCUUGCAAGUCUUUCCUUCCUGCCUGCCCCCAUGGCUUCUCCCGGUCACCUGUGCUCCCAAAAUGAUGCCACCUGCUUGCUGCCAGAUGAAACUUAGAAACCUGUCAUACAGAGUUAGUGACGCUUCUCCCCACUGCCCUGCUCCUGAAAGUACUGAGGCACAGCACACCCACCUGCACAUCAGACCCCAGGGCCUGCCCAAGAUUGCAUCAUCCCCAUCACAUCCCAGAUUGCUCGGCAGCGUUCACGUGUGGUUCUCAACUUGCUCUCCAUGCAAAUACCUGUGUCUCCUCAAAUUGCUAAUGGCACUUUUUAGACGAGUGUUUUAUGGCCAUUCUCAAUGGCACAAGAGCUCUACACAGCCAGAAAGCACAGGGUCCGAUCCAGCAGGGAUGAGGAGAAUAACCAGGCUGGGUGGAUGAGCGCUUGUAAAAACACUCAGCAGCGGCUCUUUUUCUUUCUUGCAGGGUUAAUGGUAAAAUUCUAAAAUCUGAAAAUGUUCUUGAUUUCACUACAGAUAUCUUUAAUAUUAAGCCUGCGUAGCAGUCUAAUCAGUUUAUGGCAAGUCAUGCUUCAUAACUCACGGCCUGGGAAGGCUGCAGCAGUGGGCUAAAUGCUCCUGAAUUCAGACAAUUUAAUGUAAAAAUUCAGGAAGGUUUUGCUGAAGCAAUAAUGGGCAUGAUCAAUAGAGAAAAAGCCAAGAAAGCAGAUAAAUACAUUACCCGUGACCCUAGAUAAGAUUUGCUCGUGCAGUACCCUUCCCUUUCCCCUAAACCUUUCUCAGUCCCGUAAGCUGGGAUCCAGCAGGACAGCUCUCCUUCACCGUGCUCGCAGAUCCCUGAGUUCGCAGGCAUUGGCCAUCUUGUGGACUGCAGGAGAGACUCAUGUGCCGGGCAUGUGGACAAAAGGGGCGAUGAUUCUGUGCUGCGUACAGAGGUGAAAUAUCCAUAUAAGCCCAUGAACGGAUGACGGGAGUCCGUUCCAGAUAUCAUUAAGAGCGGGCCAUUAAACAAAGCCACCUGCAUGGGAGGUGCUUCAAAAUCCUCGACUGGGCUGCUGCCUCCAACUUUGAAUUGGGAUGAGCUGCGCUGUGCUUCUGUUGAUCAAGAUUUCCCCAAAUGGAAACUUGUAUGUGAAGAUGAAUAAAAACACUGUGGAAUGUAUGGAAUACACAAACUGGACAUAUUAGUCCAGAGGUGCAGUGACUUAAGUUGUUUUCUUUCACGAUUUGUUUUCAGUGUUUCUCAGGGAGC